rnacentral:rRNA from 1 species
GUGAAAUCCCCGGGCUCAACCUGGGAACUGCGUUCUGAACUGGGUGACUAGAGUGUGUCAGAGGGAGGUAGAAUUCCACGUGUAGCAGUGAAAUGCGUAGAGAUGUGGAGGAAUACCGAUGGCGAAGGCAGCCUCCUGGGAUAACACUGACGUUCAUGCUCGAAAGCGUGGGUAGCAAACAGGAUUAGAUACCCUGGUAGUCCACGCCCUAAACGAUGUCAAUUAGCUGUUGGGCAACUUGAUUGCUUAGUAGCGUAGCUAACGCGUGAAAUUGACCGCCUGGGGAGUACGGUCGCAAGAUUAAAACUCAAAGGAAUUGACGGGGACCCGCACAAGCGGUGGAUGAUGUGGAUUAAUUCGAUGCAACGCGAAGAACCUUACCUGGUCUUGACAU